rnacentral:tRNA from 1 species
GGGAACGUAGCUCAGUUGGUAGAGCAACGGACUUUUAAUCCGUAGGUCCUGGGUUCGAGCCCCAGCGUUCUCA